GGGGGCCCGCACAAGCAGCGGAGCAUGUGGUUUAAUUCGACGCAACGCGAAGAACCUUACCUGGGCUUGACAUGUUGGUGACCGCCGUGGAAACACGGUUUUCCUUCGGGACACCAUCACAGGUGGUGCAUGGCUGUCGUCAGCUCGUGUCGUGAGAUGUUGGGUUAAGUCCCGCAACGAGCGCAACCCCCGUUCCAUGUUGCCAGCAUUCAGUUGGGGACUCAUGGGAGACUGCCGGUGACAAACCGGAGGAAGGUGGGGAUGACGUCAAGUCAUCAUGCCCCUUAUGUCCAGGGCUACACACGUGCUACAUUGGCGCAUACAAAGGGCAGCAAUACCGCGAGGUGGAGCAAAUCCCAGAAAGUGCGUCUCGGUUCGGAUUGGAGGCUGAAACUCGCCUCCAUGAAGGUGGAGUUGCUAGUAAUCGCAGAUCAGCAAUGCUGCGGUGAAUACGUUCCCGGGCCUUGUACACACCGCCCGUCACACCACGAAAGCGAGUAACACCCGAAGCCGGUGGCCUAACCGCAAGGAGGGAGCCGUCGAAGGUGGGACCCGUGAUUGGGGUGAAGUCGUAACAAGGUAACCGUAAGGGC
rnacentral:rRNA from 1 species